AUGUCUCCUUCCUUCCUACAAAGUGGGUGCACACAGGGUGGCCACUCCGCCAACCGACUCCAGGAGCUCUGCUUUCGCAACGGCAACAUCUACAUCAAGCUCGGCCAACACAUCGCACAACUGGUUCAACACGACCACUUGGUGGAUACUUCCAUAAUAGAUAUCGCCACCGUGGAUUUAGUAGUGAAUGCUCUUCAUUAUAUUUUCCCUAAAUUUGACUACAGGGUAUUAUUUGAGCUGAUAUGGAGGGACUACUUCAGAUUUCAUCCACCAAAAUAUGGGAACUCCAUUUUCUUACUAGUGAAUUUUACCUACCUACACAAACAUGAUAUGACCUGCUAUUGCAUGUUCUCUAAGACGAAGGCUAAAACUACAGUGGCAGACAUGCUUCCAAGAUCUCGUGAAGAUCAUUCUGCUGAUGAUGGGAAUGGUCUGUAUGGUCCAUACAUGGUUAUUGCUCUUCCUUCCACCCUGUCAAACUGGUUGAACGACUCAAUGAGGAUUGCUCCUUCUCUAAAUGGUUUGAUUUAUCAUGGAGAUAAAGUGGCUCGGACAGAGCUAGCGAGAAACUACAUGCCCAAAACUGUUGGUCCUGGUUUUCUGAUAAUAAUCACUUCAUAUGAGAUGGCUAUGUUUGAUGCAAAGUUUCUUGCUAAUUAUAAGUGGAAGUCACAUGAUCUGAAUUAUUGCCCUUAUGGUACCUCGCAAAACACACUGUGGUGGUCACCCUCAGCUACGACGAUGUGCAUUCCUUGGCACCGGGAAUUGGGCUGGGACGUCGUGGAGAGGAGAGAAGGGGGCGGGCGACACAGUGGAGGGAAGGAGAGAUGGUGGUGA
rnacentral:rRNA from 1 species